rnacentral:rRNA from 1 species
GAUGAACGCUGGCGGCGUGCUUAACACAUGCAAGUCGAACGAUGAAGCCCAGCUUGCUGGGUGGAUUAGUGGCGAACGGGUGAGUAACACGUGAGUAACCUGCCCUUAACUCUGGGAUAAGCCUGGGAAACUGGGUCUAAUACCGGAUAGGAGCGUCCACCGCAUGGUGGGUGUUGGAAAGAUUUAUCGGUUUUGGAUGGACUCGCGGCCUAUCAGCUGGUUGGUGAGGUAAUGGCUCACCAAGGCGACGACGGGUAGCCGGCCUGAGAGGGUGACCGGCCACACUGGGACUGAGACACGGCCCAGACUCCUACGGGAGGCAGCAGUGGGGAAUAUUGCACAAUGGGCGCAAGCCUGAUGCAGCGACGCCGCGUGAGGGAUGACGGCCUUCGGGUUGUAAACCUCUUUCAGUAGGGAAGAAGCGAAAGUGACGGUACCUGCAGAAGAAGCACCGGCUAACUACGUG